AAUGGGGGCAACCCUGACGCAGCGACGCCGCGUGAGUGAGGAAGGCCUUCGGGUCGUAAAGCUCUGUCAAGAGGGAAGAAGUGCAUGGUGGUUAAUAUCUGUCAUGUUUGACGGUACCUCUAAAGGAAGCACCGGCUAACUCCGUGCCAGCAGCCGCGGUAAUACGGAGGGUGCAAGCGUUGUUCGGAAUCACUGGGCGUAAAGGGCGCGCAGGCGGCCUGAUCAGUCAGAUGUGAAAGCCCACGGCUUAACUGUGGAAGUGCAUUUGAAACUGUCAGGCUUGAGUACCAGAGGGGAAAGUGGAAUUCCCGGUGUAGAGGUGAAAUUCGUAGAUAUCGGGAGGAAUACCGGUGGCGAAGGCGACUUUCUGGCUGGAUACUGACGCUGAGGCGCGAAAGCGUGGGGAGCAAA
rnacentral:rRNA from 1 species